AAGUCGUAACAAGGUUUCCGUAGGUGAACCUGCGGAAGGAUCAUUAUUGAAAUAAACCUGAUGGGUUGUUGCUGGUUCUCUAGGGAGCAUGUGCACGCCUUGUCAUCUUUAUAUCUCCACCUGUGCACCUUUUGUAGACCUUUCAGGUCUAUGUUGCUUCAUUUACCCCAAUGUAUGUUAAUAGAAUGUUGUGCCUAUAUAAUAUAUACAACUUUCAGCAACGGAUCUCUUGGCUCUCGCAUCGAUGAAGAACGCAGCGAAAUGCGAUAAGUAAUGUGAAUUGCAGAAUUCAGUGAAUCAUCGAAUCUUUGAACGCACCUUGCGCUCCUUGGUAUUCCGAGGAGCAUGCCUGUUUGAGUGUCAUUAAUAUAUAUAUCAAACCUUCUCUUGUAGAGUGGUUUGGAUGUGGGGGUUUGCUGGCCUUUUAGAGGGUUCAGCUCUCCUGAAAUGCAUUAGCAGAACAACCUGUUCAUUGGUGUGAUAACUAUCUACGCUAUUGAAUGUGAAGGGCAGUUCAGCUUUCUAACAGUCCUCGGACAAUUCAUCAUUAAUGUGACCUCAAAUCAGGUAGGACUACCCGCUGAACUUAA
rnacentral:rRNA from 1 species